CGGAGAGGGAGCAUGAGAAACGGCUACCACUUCUAAGGAAGGCAGCAAGCGCGCAAAUUACCCAAUCCUGACUCAGGGAGGUAGUGACAAGAAAUAACAAUAAACCGGCUUAUGCCGGUUUAAUUGGAAUGAGUACAAUUUAAACAUCUUAACGAGGAACAAUUAGAGGGCAAGUCUGGUGCCAGCAGCCGCGGUAAUUCCAGCUCCAAUAGCGUAUACUAAAGUUGUUGCAGUUAAAAAGCUCGUAGUUGGAUUUCUGCGGGGACGGAGCGGCCGGUCGCAACUUGCGACUCGAGCUAGCGCUUUCCCCGCAUCCUGCCGCGAACCGUGCUACCAUUAGUUUGGUGGCGCUGGGGAUCGGCUCGAUUACUUUGAGAAAAAUAGAGUGUUCAAAGCAGGCCACACGCCUUGAAUAAGUUAGCAUGGAAUAAUGACUAAGGACUUUGGUUCUUUUCGUUGGUGUUCGGGACUGAAGUAAUGAUUGAUAGGGACAGUUGGGGCGGUCCGUAUUCCAAAGCGAGAGGUGAAAUUCUUAGACCUUCGGAAGACGAACAGCUGCGAAAGCGUUCCGCAAGGGUGUUCCCUUUGAUCAAGAACGAAAGUUGGGGGAUCGAAGACGAUCAGAUACCGUCGUAGUCUCAACUAUAAACUAUACCAGCUAGGGAUCGGCCAACGUUUAAUUAUUCGACUUGGUCGGCACCUUAUGAGAAAUCAAAGCAUCUGGGUUCCGGGGGGAGUAUGGUCGCAAGGCUGAAACUUAAAGGAAUUGACGGAAGGGCACCACCAGCCGUGGAGCCUGUGGCUUAAUUUGACUCAACACGGGAAAACUUACCAGGUCCGGACAUAGUAAGGAUUGACAGAUUGAUAGCUCUUUCUUGAUUCUGUGGGUGGUGGUGCAUGGCCGUUUUUAGUCGGUGGAUGUGAUCUGUCUGCUUAAUUGCGUUAACGGACGAGACCCCAGCCUGCUAAAUAGCGCGGCCGAGCUUUGCUCGGUGCGAGCUUCUUAGAGGGACCAUGAUGCGCGAUAGCACAAGGAAGUUUGGGGCAACAACAGGUCUGUGAUGCCCUUAGAUGUUCUGGGCCGCACACGGGCUACACUGGCGCCUGCAACGAGCAUAUCAGCUGGCCCGAGAGGGUCUUGGCUAAUCUUUGGAACCGGCGCCGUGCUUGGGAUUGACCAUUGCAAUUGUUGGUCAUGCAACGAGGAAUGCCUUGUAAACGCGAGUCAUCAGCUCGCAUUGAAUACGUCCCUGCCCUUUGUACACACCGCCCGUCGCUCCUACCGAUGAAUGUUCCGAUGAAAUUUUCGGAGAGCGCCGGAGAACGGGGCUCCGCCCUGCAGAACUGGAGGCUCAAAGUCACUUAAAUCUGAACAUAUCGAGGAAGGAGAAGUCGUAACAAGGUAACC
rnacentral:rRNA from 1 species